ACUUCCAACAUCCAAGUUGCUGGAUUAUAGCCAUCUGUAAUUUUACUGACUCCUUUAAUUCCCUCAAAAUAUUUGAUUAAAUGGCAAGAACGGCGACCCAAUGGCCCAACAUAGAUCUCUUCUCCUCCUCUCUUCAUCAGGAAUAACUCGUCAAAAGCUUCAAAAAUGUCAAUACUUGGUUGGUGGAUUGUGCACACAACAGUUCUUCCUGUGUCCACAGUGUUCCUAACUGUUCUCAUUACAAUUGCAGCAGCUCUUGCAUCUAGCCCUGAAGUUGGCUCAUCCAUGAAUAUUAUAGAGGGGUUUGCCACCAGCUCAACUGCAAUGGUUAGCCGCUUCCGCUGCUCAGUAGACAAACCAUUCACACCAGGCAACCCAACUAGUGCUUGUCUCAAUGGAUUCAACUCCACAAGCUCCAUGACUUCUUCAACAAACAUCUUUCUGGUUUCAGAGUUGACGUCAGAGGGUAGACGAAGCCAAGCGGAGUAGACUAAGGAUUCGUAGACAGUAACAUGUGGAGAGUGGAUGUCAUUUUGCUCACAGUAUCCUGAAAUUCUAGCAAAGGUUUCUUGCUUCUUGGGAUAACCAGAAAUCCUGAUGUCCCCCUCAAUAUAUCCACCAGUUUUUCUGCCAGCUAGCACAUCCAUCAGAGUGGUUUUACCAGCACCACUAACACCCAUUAAGGCUGUGAGAACACCUGGCCUGAAAGCACCACUCACACCCUUCAAAAGCACCAACUUAUCCUCAACGACUCCCUGAUUUUUCAUUUCCUGGGGCAUAUCAACAGAGUAUAUAACAUUAUCAAAAGUGAUGGAAUGUGGUUCAAAUGGAAGAACCAUUCCUUUUUUCUUGUUAUGGUUCGAUUCAUCAAUUCCACUUGUCCCACUCGCUGUGUUGUUUCUAUGACUGCUUUCAACUUGUGAUAACUGAAUGGCUCCUCCACUUCUCUCUCUUUCUUCAGGCUCAUCAGAUAUAAUAGCCUGAGGCUUCUCAAAUUGGUCUAAGAAAGUGAGAGCCACAGUGUAAAGUAUAUUGAAGACAAAUAUAUAUCCAGCUGAUGCCCCGAGUCCCAACCAAUACCAAUAUGCAUGUGGGAAGAACCCAUUAUUUUUUAUAAAUUGAACUCCUAGAGAUUCUGUUGAGUUUGAAUUUGCUGGAAUAUGAUUCCAACUGUGCCCAAGAAACUCAUUAGCAACAAUUGCAUUCUGCCCGUACAUCAGUGGUGAUAUCCAGUAACCCCAGAUCCACCAUUUCUUUAUCUCCGGUCGUUUCAGGAUAAAGCCACCCAAUGCAAAAAGAGUAAGAAGUGCAAAUGAACCAAAUGUAUUAGCAACAAUCAUGUUCCUUCCAACUGAAGCGAUAAAUCGGAAAAGAGCAGAGGCCAUCUGGUUCACAAGUAAAAGCAGCAUAUACUGCUUAAAUAACCUUCCAACGUUGGGAUCAAAUCCAAUGACAUAAUAAGUGAUGAACACCCAAACGCCAACUUCCACAAAUGUGACAGGAAUUUUAAGGAU
rnacentral:misc_RNA from 1 species